rnacentral:rRNA from 1 species
AACUUUCAACAACGGAUCUCUUGGCUCUCGCAUCGAUGAAGAACGCAGCGAAAUGCGAUAAGUAAUGUGAAUUGCAGAAUUCAGUGAAUCAUCGAAUCUUUGAACGCACCUUGCGCUCCUUGGUAUUCCGAGGAGCAUGCCCGUUUGAGUGUCG